CAAAAAAAUCAAAUCAGCUUACAUACAAACAUAUGCACAUACAUCUAUCAGUACUGUAUCAUUCUUUGUGAAGAAAAAUAAACUGACAGCUGUAGCCUUCCAGUUACACGGUAGUUCUGUUUCCUACAGUCAAACCAGAUGAUUAAUUACAGCUACUGCUAACCUUACAGGUAUUACUAACUUUCCAGAGUACAAAGAGCCUGAAAAAUGUAAGCCAAGUUACCCUAAGUGUGUUGGAAAGGAUCCAAAAUUUCAGUGCCUCCCUGGCACAAUUGCUUAGCAAAAUGGCACAUUUGUGAAUUUAAAGCUAAGAAUGCAUCAAAGAUUUCCAGACUGCUGAGAUGCCUCUAGCUUGGCCUUGAGGCAUUGGGAACUCUGACAAGGCCUAAAGCAAAUCAGUAUGAAAUUCAAAUGCUGCCUUUAUCAAUAUACCCUUUCAUUUAAUUCUAAUUGUGGUGUGAGACACAAUUGAUAAGACCACAGUCCCAUCCCCAUCUUUCCAAAUUGUACUACUUUGAUAGAUUCAUUUUUCUUUGUAAUUAUCCUAAUUUUACUUUUUUUUUCUGACUUUUUAAAAAUCAGGGACCUUUAGAACUAUCUGUGAACAGCACAGAAAUAUGACAGAUGCUGCAAAGGUCAGAACCAUCUUGUCAGAGCAGUCUGUGAAGAGUUCAAUAGACAUCUAAGCAGUUUUUAUGGCCCCAAGUUUCUUCAAGACUUUUCCAUCUUUUGUCGACAUCUAGAUGUUAGCCCUUGCUUUUGUGUCAUAUUGUCAUCCAGUAUUUUUUUUUCAUUAUCUUUUCAUUUAUGAUGAGACAAAUCAUAAUCUUUCUCGUUUGUAAGUCAUGCUGAAGUCAGUGGCACUAGUUGCAUUAAAAAAGGAAAUACAAUUUUGACCUUUUAAGGAUAAGCUUCUAAAGUGUUAUUGGUCAGAAGAAUGUGGUAUUAUUUACAGUACUUAGAACUGAAAUAUUUCUAAGCAUUGUGAAACAGACCACUGAAACUAAGUAAAAGACCUGUACAGCAGAUGAAAAAUAAGAGCAGCUAAAGACUUAAUUCUUCAGAGAAAAAAAAAAUAAAUCAGUAGUUAGCAUCCCUUAAGCCUCAAACACAACAUGACAUUUCUUUCCUUGCCAUAGUGCUGACAGCUAAGAGCUCAAGUCUUUUUCUCUUGGAUCCUACAAUAUCAGUUACUUCUGUCCUUGGUUUUGUUUGUUUGUUGUUUGUUUGUUAUAAUUUCUAUAUGUAUAGACAUGUCCUUGUUUCUUUCUCUAUUUUAUAACAAGCUUUGAAAAAUUCAGAAGUAACAUUAAGUACGUUAUGCAGUUGACUGUUAAGUUUGGCCAUGUAUUCCAAUUUUUAAGACAGAUAUAAGCAUUUACAACACUUUUUUACCUUCAGCUUUCCACACUAGUAUGCUUAUGACACAGGAGUUACAUAGGCCUCAUUAAAAGGGGAAAGAGCAGAUAUUGAUACUUUCUCAAAAGCAUUAUAUUGGUGCUAUUCAUUUUU